rnacentral:rRNA from 1 species
UACAGAGGGUGCAAGCGUUGUUCGGAAUUAUUGGGCGUAAAGCGCGUGUAGGCGGCUUUGCAAGUCGGGUGUGAAAGCCCUCAGCUCAACUGAGGAAGUGCGCCCGAAACUGCAGAGCUUGAGUACCGGAGAGGAUGGUGGAAUUCCCCAAGUAGAGGUGAAAUUCGUAGAUAUGGGGAGGAACACCGGUGGCGAAGGCGACCAUCUGGACCGAGACUGACGCUGAGGCGCGAAAGCGUGGGGAGCAAACAGG